rnacentral:rRNA from 1 species
AACGAACGCUGGCGGCGCGCCUAAUACAUGCAAGUCGAGCGAGAAGGUGUAGCAAUACACUUGUAAAGCGGCGAACGGGUGAGGAAUACAUGGGUAAUCUACCAUCGAGUGGGGAAUAACCAGCCGAAAGGCUGGCUAAUACCGCGUACGCUUCCGGGUCUUCGGAUUCGGAAGGAAAGCCAUGCCGUGGGUAUGGCGCUCCUUGAUGAGCUCAUGUCCUAUCAGCUUGUUGGUAGGGUAACGGCCUACCAAGGCUUUGACGGGUAGCUGGUCUGAGAGGACGAUCAGCCACACUGGCACUGCGACACGGGCCAGACUCCUACGGGAGGCAGCAGUAAGGAAUAUUGCGCAAUGGGCGACAGCCUGACGCAGCGACGCCGCGUGGGGGAUGAAGGUCUUCGGAUUGUAAACCCCUUUCGGGAGGGAAGAUGGGGCGGGAAACCG